CACGCUGGCGGCGUGCCUAAUACAUGCAAGUCGUACGCAUGGAGGAAGAACUUGUUCUUCCAAAGUGAGUGGCGCACGGGUGAGUAACACGUGGGAAACCUACCCUUCAGCCGGGGGAUAACCAUCGGAAACGAUGACUAAUACCGCAUAGACAACAGUGUCGCAUGACACAAUCGGGAAAGACGGCUUCGGCUGUCACUGAAGGAUGGUCCCGCGCUGCAUUAGCUAGUUGGUAAGGUAACGGCUUACCAAGGCGAUGAUGCAUAGCCGACCUGAGAGGGUGAUCGGCCACAUUGGGACUGAGACACGGCCCAAACUCCUACGGGAGGCAGCAGUAGGGAAUCUUCCGCAAUGGACGAAAGUCUGACGGAGCAACGCCGCGUGUGUGAAGAAGGUUUUCGGAUCGUAAAGCACUGUUGUUAGAGAAGAAUGGCUGGGAGAGUAACUGUUCCCAGAUUGACGGUAUCUAACCAGAAAGUGACGGCUAACUACGUG
rnacentral:rRNA from 1 species